rnacentral:rRNA from 1 species
AUUGAACGCUGGCGGCAGGCCUAACACAUGCAAGUCGAACGAGUGGGGGAGGGGUGAGUAAUGUCUGGGAAACUGCCUGAUGGAGGGGGAUAACUACUGGAAACGGUAGCUAAUACCGCAAAAUAUCAUAUGUGCCCAUGUGUGAUUAGCUUGUUGGUGGGGUAACGGCUCACCAAGGCGACGAUCCCUAGCUGGUCUGAGAGGAUGACCAGCCACACUGGAACUGAGACACGGUCCAGACUCCUACGGGAGGCAGCAGUGGGGAAUAUUGCACAAUGGGCGCAAGCCUGAUGCAGCCAUGCCGCGUGUGUGAAGAAGGCCUUCGGGUUGUAAAGUACUUUCAGCAGGAAAGCGUUACCCGCAGAAGAAGCACCGGCUAACUCCGUGCCAGCAGCCGCGGUAAUUC